rnacentral:rRNA from 1 species
CACGUAGGAGGCGAGCGUUGUCCGGAAUCAUUGGGCGUAAAGAGCGCGCAGGCGGCUUGGCAAGUCGGGUGUGAAAUCCCGGGGCUCAACCCCGGGACUGCAUUCGAUACUGUCAGGCUAGAGGUAGGUAGGGGAGAUCGGAAUUCCUGGUGUAGCGGUGAAAUGCGCAGAUAUCAGGAGGAACACCGAUGGCGAAGGCAGGUCUCUGGGCUGUAACUGACGCUGAGGAGCGAAAGCAUGGGGAGCGAACAGG